CUGGGAAUAAUGUGAGCUCUGAGGAAAACUCAUACUGUAGACAACACUGGAUAUCCUGGAAAUCAUUUUGGAGCUGCUGGGAGUCUGGAGAUGGGGGUGGGAGAAGGAAUGUUCUCUGGAGAAAUCUGUAUGAUAGAAUAGUGAAGGUAACUGGCCUGAACUACAGCUCUUGAGCCAUCUGGUUUCACCUUCAGGGAGGUCCCACUGAAGCUGAAUGACUGUGCAGGUUGAUACACUGGACAUUUUCGGUGAAACCUGUGUGAACAGACAACUGGAGGGUCAGAUGAUUUAUCCUCUCCCCAGUACCUUGGCACAAGCCUAGGCUACAGAAUGAGAUGCACGUAAGAAGUCUGUGACCUGGACCAGAGCAGCCCAGCUGAACACAUGCUGGAUUGGAAGAACCACCUUUGACCUGAAGACCUGUGAGUGAGAAUAAAUGCUGUUUGAGAAAGGAGUUUGGAGACAGAAAGACGGAAGAGUUGAUAUUCCGCUCACAGAUGUCAAUUUUCAAAGAAAUUUCUGCCCAUUAUGGAUGCACCACAAAUACUAAAGUCUAUGCAAUAUAUAUUUUGAAAAGAAUUUUUUUCGUGAAACUGUAAUUUUCGUUCAUAAGAGUAUAUUUCCUGACUUAGCAUUUUAUUGACUAGAUUAAAAUUUUGUUCCCCAAAGUAAGUGUGUGUGUGUGUGUGUGUGUGUGUGUGCACGCACACGUGUGUGUGCAUUCCUGAGGAUUAUUCUAAGGCUGAACUCCUUCAUAGAAAUGGAAUUUUUCUCUCUAUGCUCACAUUUUAAAACAGCUCACACAAGCCAGGCAGAAACUGCCAACCCCUUGGUUUCUAAUUCUUUGUGCUAGUUCUAUUAGAAGGGGCAAGUGUAAUCUGACAAUGGGAAACAAUACACCCUUUCUCAUAUUCUUUAUCAACAUACAUAAACUGGAAGAAAGAAAAAGAAAGAGAGGGGUACAGAGGGAGGAAAGGAGGAAGAAAAAAGAUAGGAGGGGAAGUAGGAAGAGAGGAGAAGGGGACUGUAGUGGGGGAAAGAGAGGAGAGACAGAAUCUUUCCACUAAAGUUAGCAUCUGAGAGAGAGGCCCACGGAAUUGAUUUUUUUUUUUUUAUCCCUUUGGCAAACCAGCAUUUGGUCUUUGCUUUGGUUAUCCUGAGAUAGUGCUUUGUUUACCUGAGCUAGCUGGCCAUCUCAGCUGUGACAAUUUAAAAUUAGGCCACUAUUUAUAAUUCAAGCUAUGUGUAAACAAAACAAAACACAAUACAACCAAUGAAGGAGGUUUGUUUGUUUGUUUUUUUAAAAGGUAGGGGCAUUUUGUAAAUCAGACAGAGAUAGCUUUCUUGAAUAAAAUGACAUUUUUAGUUAUUUCUUUGUCUUGAACUUUCUCCUGAGACACCUUCUGGCUCACUAGUCACGAGGAACUGAAGAGGAACUGAAGGAAUUCUAAACAUCCCCAAAGCCUCUAGUGAUUCUCCAGAUGUGUCUUUUCAAGAGGCUGGCGACUUGUAGGGAGGGUGGAUAUACCUUAAUUAUUCAGUCACUUUUAACGUUUUACCUAAACUAUUUGUCAAAUAAGUAGUUUUUGCAUUGCUUUAACUGUAUACAGCCAUCAUUUGAUUAUACAUUCUAUCAAAGAUUGAUUGCCUGAUUUCAGGUUUAAUUUUAAGAUUUAAAUGACUGACUCCUUAGCUUGCUCAGUUGUAUUCUUUGUCUCUGAUUACUUACUCCAUAGAACACUGCUUACCUUUAAAUAAAAUGUAUUAAACUCCUUUGUUUUCAGAAUCUCUAAUAUUCAUGCCUAUUGGGGAUUCAUACCCUAAUAACUUGGGCUACUAGUCUGUCAUAAAAUAUAAACUCCAGCCAUAUUAAAUAUGGUAGACUUGCCCUAAAAGUCAGAUUUAUACCUUCAAUAUACCAUGGAAUUUGUAAUACAAAUAAAUUCCUUUUUUUAUAUUGGUUUUAAAAUAAGAAAUUGUAGUCUCUUGAGUUCUAGAGUUUCUGUAAGAACAACAGAAGGAAUGCUCAGCUAAUGUUUAGUACCCAUAUGCUUCAUUAAAGUGACCAGAUGUCCUGCAUUUGUCAAGGGAAAAGGGGAAUUGUUUUCUUCUCUCUCAAAUAUCUCCUUCAAAAAGUCUAUCAUGGAUACAUUUUGUGCCUUCACUGCCCUUUUUAAAUAAUUAUUAUUCAUGCCUUACUAUAAGAACAUUACAACUGGUAACAAACUGCUUUUAAACUUGGGGUUUCAGAUUUUCUAAAG
rnacentral:lncRNA from 10 species